rnacentral:rRNA from 1 species
AAAAACAUGUNUUUUUGAAAAUAAUAAAAAGUUUAAUCUGCCCACUGAAUUUAUUUAAAGGGCUGCAGUAUAUUGACUGUACAAAGGUAGCAUAAUCAAUAGUCUUUUAAUUGAAGACUUGUAUGAAUGAUUUGAUGAAAUAUGAACUGUCUCUUUUUUAAAAAUAAAAUUUAAUUUUUUAGUUAAAAAGCUAAAAUAAUUAUAAAAGACGAGAAGACCCUAUAGAGUUUUAUAGUUAUUUAAUUUAAAAAUUUUAUAUAUAAUUUAAAUUUAAAAUUAAUUAAUUAUUUUAUUGGGGUGAUAGAAAAAUUAAAAAAACUUUUUUUAAAAAUUUAACAUUAAUUUAUGAAAUUAUGAUCCAUAAUUUAUGAUUAAAAGAAUCAAUUACCUUAGGGAUAACAGCGUAAUUUUUUUUUUUAGUACAAAUAAGAAAAAGAGUUUGCGACCUCGAUGUUGGAUUAAGAUAAAAUUUAAAUGCAAAAGUUUAAAAUUUUUGAUCUGUUCGAUCAUUAAAAUCUUACA